AUCUGGGAAGAUCGCACAUGCCGCGGAGCAACUAAGCCCGUGUGCCACAACUACUGAGCCUGCGUUCUAGAGCCCACGAAGCCACCACAAUGAGAAGCCUGCGCACCACAACGAAGUGUAGCCCCUGAUCACCGCAACUAGAGAAAGCCGGCGCCCAGCAGUGAAGACCCAAUGCAGCCAAAGUCUCUUAAUGAUGGACCUACACUGAGCUGGAGAGCGGUCUCUAAAAAUGCACCAGAGGGCUCUGUCCUUGACCAAAUAAUGGUGGAGUAUUUUAAUGAACGACUUCAGCGAGAACGUAGAGAGACUAUUCAUCAGAUUUGUGGAUGACAUAAUUUGGAACCAAAGACUGCAAGUUUUACAGAUACGGGCACCAGUCGUGGAGAUUUACAGAUGCCUACGUCAUACGUGGGUUUUACAGAUGCAGGUACCAUGCAUGGAGUUUUACGAACGCAAGCGCCGUACUUGGAGACCCCUGGCAACAGUUUUAGAUAUCAGAGGACUUCUAAUUAUCUGAGAAUGACCAGAAGACCCCUGGAAUCUGUCUGCAUUUUCAUCCAAAGGGACAGGGAAGAACUUGGCUUCAGGAGUGAACAGCAAAGACACCAGCAGAGUUGGUUUUGGAUGAAACACUUGAGCUCUACUUGUCAAAUGUUAAGAUUACAUUUGUUUUCUUGAAGAUGGAUUUUUUUCCUCUUUUUUAUUCUGUCUUCUUUUUGAUGACUUUUGAGGGGAAAAGUGUUAUGUGAUAGGAAAGAAGUUGAAAAGGAAAAAAUAAACAGAGUCCCCACUGAAGAGGGCGGAGGAGUAAGACAUGGAGAUCACCUUCCUCCCCACAAAUACAUCAGAAAUACAUCUACAUGUGGAAAAACUCCUACAGAACACCUACUGAAUGCUGGCAGAAGAACUCAGACCUCCCAAAAGGCAAGAAAAUACCCACAUACCUGGGUAGGGCGAAAGAAAACAGAAAAAAACAGAGGCAAAAGAAUAGGGAUGGGAUCUGCCCCUCUGGAAGGGAGCUGUGAAGGAGGAAAAGUUUCCACACACUAGGAAGGCCCUUCACUGGCAGAGACUGUGGGUGGCGGAGGGGGGAAGCUUCGAAGACGCGGAGGAGAGCGCAGCAACAGGGGUGCGGAAGGCAAAGCGGAGAGAUUCCCGCACAGAGGGUCGGUGCUGACUGGCACUCACCAGCCCGAGAGGCUUGUCUGCUCGCCCACCGGGGCGGGCAGGGGCUGGGAGCUGAGGCUCGGGCUUCGGUCGGAGCACAGGGAGAGGACUGGGGUUAGCUGUGUGACCACAGCCUGCAGGGGGUUAGUGUGCCACAGCUAGGUGGGAGGGAGUCCGGGAAAAGGUCUGGACCUGCCGAAGAGGCAAGAGACUUUUUCUUCCCUCUUUGUUUGCUAGUGCGCGAGGAGAGGGGAUUAAGAGCGCUGCUUAAAGGAGCUCCAGAGACGGGCGCGAGCCGCAGCUAACAGUGCGGACCCCAGAGACGGGCAUAAGACGCUAAGGCUGCUGCUGCCGCCACCAACAAGCCUGUGUGCAAGCACAGGUCACUCUCCACACCGCCCCUCCCAGGAGCCUGUGCAACCCACCACUGCCAGGGUCCUGUGAUCCAGGGACAACUUCCCCGGGAGAACGCACGGUGCGCCUCGGGCUGGUGCAAUGUCAUGCCGGCCUCUGCCGCUGCAGGCUCGCCCCGCAUCCAUACCCCUCCCUCCCCCCGGCCUCAGUGAGCCAGAGCCCCCGAAUCAGCGACUCCUUUAACCCCGUCCUGUCUGAUCGAAGAACAGACGCCCUCAGGCGACCUACACGCGGAGGCGGGGCCACAUCCAAAGCUGAGCCCCGGGAGCUGUGCGAACAAAGAAGAGAAAGGGAAAUCUCUCCCAGAAGCCUCAGGAGCAGCAGAUUAAAUCUCCACAAUAAACCUGAUGUACCCUGCAUCUGUGGAAUACCUGAAUAUACAAAGAAUCAUCCCAAAAUUGAGGCGGUGGACUUUUGGAGCAACUGUAGACUUGGGGUCUGCUGUCUGUGACUGAUUUGUUUCUAAUUUUUAUGCUUAUCUUAGUAUAGUUUUUAGUGCUUGUUAUCAUUGGUGGAUUUGUUUAUUGGUUCGGUUGCUCUCUUCUUUUUUUAAUUAUUAUUACUUUUUUAUUUUAAUUUUUAAAUUUUAAUAAUUUUAUUUUAUUCUUUAUUUUGUUAUUUAUUAUUAUUUUUCUUUCCUUUUUUCUCACUUUUCUUCUAAGCCGUGUGGCUGACAGGCUCUUGGUGCUCUGGCGGGGUGUCCAGCCUGAGCCUCUGCGGUGAGAAAGCCGAGUUCAAGACAUUGGACCACCAGAGACCUCCCAGUCCCACAUAAUAUCAAGCAGCAAGAGCUUUCCCAGAGAUCUCUGUCUCAACGCUAAGACCCAGAUCCACUUAACGGCCAGCAAGCUCCAGUGCUGGACACCCCAUGCCAAACAACUAGCAAGACAGGAACACAAACCCAUCCAUUUAGCAGAAAGGUUGCCUAAAAUCAUACUAAGUUCACAGACAUCCCAAAACACACCAUCGGACACAGCCCUGCCCACCAGAAAGGCAAGAUCCAGCCCCACCUACCAUAACACCUAAGGAGACAAAAGACCCGUCCGUAUACAGAAAACUACAAGACACUGAGGAAAGAAAUUAAAGAUGAUACAAAUAGAUGGAGAGAUAUACCAUGUUCUUGGAUUGGAAGAAUCAACAUUGUGAAAAUGACUCUACUACCCAAAGCAAUCUACAGAUUCAAUGCAAUCCCUAUCAAACUACCACUGGCAUUUUUCACAGAACUAGAACAAAAAGUUUCAAAAUUUGUUUGGAAAAACAAAAGACCCCAAAUAGCCAAAGCAAUCUUGAGAACGAAAAACGGAACUGGAGGAAUCAGGGUCCCUGACUUCAGACUAUAUUACAAAGCUACAGUAAUCAAGACAGUAUGGUACUGGCACAAAAACAGAAAGAUAGAUCAAUGGAACAGGAUAGAAAGCCCAGAGAUAAACCCACACACAUAUGGUCACCUUAUCUUUGAUAAAGGAGGCAGGAAUGUACAGUGGAGAAAGGACAGCCUCUUCAAUAAGUGGUGCUAGGAAAACUGGAGAGGUACAUGUAAAAGAAUGAGAUUAGAACACUCCCUAUCACCAUACACAAAAAUAAACUCAAAAUGGAUUAAAGACCUAAAUGUAAGGCCAGAAACUAUCAAACUCUUAGAGGAAAACACAGGCAGAACACUCUAUGACAUAAACCACAGCAAGAUGCUUUUUGACCCACCCUCCUAGAGAAAUGGAAAUAAAAACAAAUAAACAAAUGGGACCUAAUGAAACUUCAAAGCUUUUGCACAGCAAAGGAAACCAUAAACAAGAUGAAAAGACAACCCUCAGAAUGGGAGAAAAUAUUUGCAAAUGAAGCAACUGACAAAGGAUUAAUCUACAAAAUUUAUAAGCAGCUCAUGCAGCUCCAUAGCAAAAAAACAAACAACCCAAUCCAAAAAUGGGUGGAAGACCUAAAUAGACAUUUCUCCAAAGAAGAUAUACAGACUGCCAACAAACACAUGAAAGAAUGCUCAACAUCAUUAAUCAUUAGAGAAAUGCAAAUCAAAACUACAAUGAGGUGCACCUCACACCAGUCAGAAUGGCCAUCAUCAAAAAAUCUACAAACAAUAAAUGCUGGAAAGGGUGUGGUGAAAAGGGAACUCUCCUGCACUGUUGGUGGGAAUGUAAAUUGAUACAACCACUAUCGAAAACAGUAUGGAGAUUCCUUAAAAAAUUAAAAAUAGAACUAUCAUACGACACAGCAAUCCCCCUACUGGGCAUAUACCCUGAGAAAACCAUAAUUCAAAAAGAGACAUGUACCACAAUGAUCACUAGAGCUCUGUUUACAAUAGCCAGGUCAUGGAAGCAACCUAAGUGUUCACUGACAGAUGAAUGGAUAAAGAAGACGUGGUACACAUAUACAAUGGAAUAUUAAUCAGCCAUAAAAAGAUAUGAAAUUGAGUUAUUUGUAGUGAGGUUGAUGGACCUAGAGUCUUUCAUACAGAGUGAAGUAAGUCAGAAAGAGAAAAACAAAUAUCGUAUGCUAACACAUAUAUGUGGAAUCAAAAAAAAAAAAGGUUCUGAAGAACCUAGGGGCAGGACAGGAAUAAAGAUGCAGAGGUAGAGAUUGGAGUUGAGGACACAGGGAGUUGGAAGGGUAAGCUGGGACGAAGUGAGAGAGUGGCAUGGACAUAUAUACACUACCAAAUGUAAAAUAGAUAGCUAGUGGGAAGCAGCUGCAUAGCACAGGGAGAUCAGCUCCGUGUUUUGU